rnacentral:rRNA from 1 species
UCGAGAAUCUUCGGCAAUGGGCGCAAGCCUGACCGAGCGACGCCGCGUGGAGGAUGAAGGCCUUCGGGUUGUAAACUCCUGUCGAGGGGGACCAAGGGCCGGCGCAGAGCCGGUCUUGAGGGAACCCUGGAGGAAGCACGGGCUAAGUUCGUGCCAGCUGCCGCGGUAAGACGAACCGAGCGAACGUUAUUCGGAAUCACUGGGCUUAAAGCGCGUGUAGGCGGGCCGCCGCGCCGGACGGUGAAAGCCCCCGGCUCAACCGGGGAACGGGCGGCGAUACGGGUGGCCUGGAGGGACGUAGGGGGCGCUGGAACUUCCGGUGGAGCGGUGAAAUGCGUUGAGAUCGGAAGGAACGCCCGCGGCGAAAGCGAGCGCCUGGACGUCAACUGACGCUGAGACGCGAAAGCCAGGGGAGCAAACGGGAUUAGAUACCCGGGUAGUCC